CCAUACCACCCUGAACGCACUGGAUCUCAUCGGAUCUCAGAAGCUAAGCAAGGUC
rnacentral:rRNA from 1 species